UUUUAGUCUUAGUGUAUCCAAGUCUUGUUUUUUGAGAAUGAAGGAACAAUAAAGGAUUCCCUCUUUUUUUAUCAAUUUUUAUCAAAAGGGGUUCUAUAAUGUGUUCCUUCAUUUUUUUUUUACCUGUUUUAUUUACAAGACUUAUUUAUUUUUAAUAUAAAAAUAAAAAGAUAUUAAGAAAAAGUUAAAAAUGGGAUAACGUAUUUCAAAAUGAAAAUUAAAAAUGAAAUUGAAAUAAUGUCACAGUACAAAAUAAAAAAAGUUUAUUUAUUUCUUAUUUUAUUUUUAAUUUAAAAUUUUUAUUUAGAAAUAAAUAAAAAGGAUA
rnacentral:misc_RNA from 1 species